rnacentral:rRNA from 1 species
UACGCAGGGUGCAAGCGUUACUCGGAAUUACUGGGCGUAAAGCGUGCGUAGGUGGUUUUUUAAGUCCGUUGUGAAAGCCCUGGGCUCAACCUGGGAAUGGCAGUGGAUACUGGAAAGCUAGAGUGCGGUAGAGGGUAGUGGAAUUCCCGGUGUAGCAGUGAAAUGCGUAGAGAUCGGGAGGAACACCAGUGGCGAAGGCGGCUACCUGGACCAACACUGACACUGAGGCACGAAAGCGUGGGGAGCGAACAGG